AAGUGGUUCCGCGCCGACAAUGUAGCGGGGCUCAAGUACACCGCCGAAGCUGUGGCAUUCACAUAAUAACCCCGCCUAAACUUUCGGGUUUGGGUGCAGGUGUGUGGAUGGGUAGGGGAGCGUCGUGCCGCGGGUGAAGCAGCCGAGUGAUCGAGUUGUGGACGCGGUGCGAGUGAGAAUGCAGGCAUGAGUAGCGCAAGAAGGGUGAGAAACCCUUCCGCCGGAUGACCAAGGGUUCCAGGGCCAGGCUAAUCCGCCCUGGGUGAGUCGGGACCUAAGGCGAGGCCGAGAGGCGUAGUCGAUGGACAACGGGUUGAUAUUCCCGUACCCGCGAAAGAGCGUCCCUGAUGAACCUCGCUGUGCUAACCACCCGAGCUCUGGAAGGUCUUCGGACUGACUGGGGGGAGCGUGGGAACCUGGUGGGUAGUAGUCAAGCGAUGGGGUGACGCAGGAAGGUAGCUGAUCCCGGCCGGUGGUUGUGCCGGGGUAAGCGUGUAGGCCGGUGUGUAGGCAAAUCCGCACACCAUGAAGGCUGAGACGUGAUGCCGAGCCGAUUCAGGUGAAGUCAGUGAUCCUAUGCUGCCGAGAAAAGCCUCUAGCGAGUUCUUAGCGGCCCGUACCCCAAACCGACACAGGUGGUCAGGUAGAGAAUACCAAGGCGACGGGCGAACUGUGGUUAAGGAACUCGGCAAAUUACCCCCGUAACUUCGGGAGAAGGGGGGCCGGACACGUGAAGCAACACGCUUGUGGAGCGUGGUAUGGCCGCAGAGACCAGGGGGAAGCGACUGUUUACUAAAAACACAGGUCCAUGCGAAGAAGUAAUUCGAUGUAUAUGGACUGACGCCUGCCCGGUGCUGGAACGUUAAGGGGACCUGUUAGCUCUUCGGGGCGAAGCGGAGAACUUAAGCGCCAGUAAACGGCGGUGGUAACUAUAACCAUCCUAAGGUAGCGAAAUUCCUUGUCGGGUAAGUUCCGACCUGCACGAAUGGCGUAACGACUUCCCUACUGUCUCAACCACAGGCCCGGCGAAAUUGCAGUACGAGUAAAGAUGCUCGUUACGCGCGGCAGGACGGAAAGACCCCGGGACCUUUACUAUAGCUUGACAUUGGUAUCUGAGUUAAUUUGUGUAGGAUAGGUGGGAGCCUGUGAAGCUCGUACGCCAGUACGGGUGGAGGCAAUCUUGAAAUACCACUCUGGUUGAUUCGGGUAUCUAACUUCGGACCGUGAUCCGGUUCAGGGACAGUGUCUGGUGGGUAGUUUAACUGGGGCGGUUGCCUCCUAAAGAGUAACGGAGGCGCCCAAAGGUUCCCUCAGCCUGGUUGGCAAUCAGGUGUUGAGUGUAAGUGCACAAGGGAGCUUGACUGUGAGACUGACAGGUCGAGCAGGGACGAAAGUCGGGACUAGUGAUCCGGCACCGGCAUGUGGAAGCGGUGUCGCUCAACGGAUAAAAGGUACCCCGGGGAUAACAGGCUGAUCUUCCCCAAGAGUCCAUAUCGACGGG
rnacentral:rRNA from 1 species